GUAGGUGAACCUGCGGAAGGAUCAUUAAAAAAAUACGCCUGGUGAAUAGUUCAAACCAUAGUGAACUAGGAUCCAGUGCUGUAUACAACCACCUGUUUACCUUUACCUCUGUUGCUUCCCUGGAAGAGAAAGGAAUCCACCUCACUGGUGUGUAUUCCUAUCCAGGAAAAUAUAUUCAAAAACUUGUUUUGUAUAAUUGUCUGAUCUAAAAAUUUUAAUAAAAGUUAAAACUUUCAACAACGGAUCUCUA
rnacentral:misc_RNA from 1 species